UGAAUUUACAUGGUCUGAAGCAAAUUCAUUCGUAUGAUGUGCUCCUUCUAAGUCAUUGUUGCUCCAACUGUGUACGCAGCUAGUAACAGGAGUGUAUUCUACUUCUAGAGCAAGGAAAGAUGAUAUUAGAGGCCCAAAUCACGGUUUAUAGCAGAAGAAAAAGAGGAACUCAAGUCUGCAACUGUUCUUGAUGCCCCUUUCUCCUUCUCCUCAACCCUCCAUAUUCUGGUACCAAUUGCUGCUGCCGCUGUUCUUUUGUUUUUUUUUUGGAGAUUCUUACUAAAGAGAGAGUUGAGAGGCUCCGUGGCGAUUUUGUUUGAGCAUUUAGUUCAUACAGUAGCAAAUGGAUUGUCAUUUAUACGUAGGAUAUAUAUUGUAACAACUGUAAAAUCAGCCAGCUUUGGUUGCAAUUUCGGUCUGAG
rnacentral:misc_RNA from 1 species